GACAGAGGGUGCAAACGUUGCUCGGAAUUACUGGGCGUAAAGCGCGUGUAGGUGGAUUGGUGUGUCAGAUGUGAAAGCCCUGGGCUCAACCCAGGAACUGCACCUGAAACUACCAGUCUUGAGUGGUGGAGAGGGAAGUGGAAUUCCUGGUGUAGAGGUGAAAUUCGUAGAUAUCAGGAGGAACACCAGUGGCGAAAGGCGGCUCACUGGCCCGGUACUGACGCUGAGGUGCGAAAGCGUGGGGGAGCAAACAGG
rnacentral:rRNA from 1 species